rnacentral:rRNA from 1 species
UACGUAGGGGGCAAGCGUUGUCCGGAUUUAUUGGGCGUAAAGAGCGUGUAGGCGGUCUGGUAGGUCCGUUGUGAAAACUCGAGGCUCAACCUCGAGACGCCGAUGGAAACCCUCAGACUAGAGUCCGGAAGAGGAGAGUGGAAUUCCUGGUGUAGCGGUGGAAUGCGCAGAUAUCAGGAAGAACACCCGUGGCGAAGGCGGCUCUCUGGAACGCAACUGACGCUGAGACGCGAAAGCGUGGGGAGCAAACAGG